rnacentral:rRNA from 1 species
GAUGAACGCUGGCGGCGUGCCUAAUACAUGCAAGUCGAGCGAACAGACGAGGAGCUUGCUCCUCUGACGUUAGCGGCGGACGGGUGAGUAACACGUGGAUAACCUACCUAUAAGACUGGGAUAACUUCGGGAAACCGGAUCUAAUACCGGAUAAUAUAUUGAACCUCAUGGUUCAAUAGUGAAAGACGGUUUUGCUGUCACUUAUAGAUGGAUCCGCGCCGCAUUAGCUAGUUGGUAAGGUAACGGCUUACCAAGGCGACGAUGCGUAGCCGACCUGAGAGGGUGAUCGGCCACACUGGAACUGAGACACGGUCCAGACUCCUACGGGAGGCAGCAGUAGGGAAUCUUCCGCAAUGGGCGAAAGCCUGACGGAGCAACGCCGCGUGAGUGAUGAAGGUCUUCGGAUCGUAAAACUCUGUUAUUAGGGAAGAACAAAUGUGUAAGUAACUAUGCACGUCUUGACGGUACCUAAUCAGAAAGCCACGGCUAACUACGUG